rnacentral:rRNA from 1 species
CAGUCGCCGCGGUAAUGCGAAGGGUGCAAGCGUUAAUCGGAAUUACUGGGCGUAAAGCGUGCGUAGGCGGUGAGUUAAGUCUGCUGUGAAAUCCCCGGGCUCAACCUGGGAAUGGCAGUGGAUACUGGCUCGCUAGAGUGUGUCAGAGGAUGGUGGAAUUCCCGGUGUAGCGGUGAAAUGCGUAGAUAUGCGGAGGAACACCGAUGGCGAAGGCAGCCCCCUGGGCCAACACUGACGCUCAUGCACGAAAGCGUGGGGAGCAAACAGGAUUAGAUACCCCCGUAGUCCCUGUCUCUUAUAA